rnacentral:sRNA from 1 species
CUACAGUAGGCUUUCUUCUGUAUCUGGCUUUGUUCAGACAGCAGGAUGUUUAUAGUAUUCAUCGCUGAUGUUCUGAGUAUCAAUAUCAAUAGCUUGUUCCUUCUUGCAGAUUAAUAUUCCAUUGUGUACAUAUGGAACAACUUGCUCAUCCUUCCCCUGCCCCAAGUGCGCACUGGGUUCACUCUGCUUAACUGUUUGAAAAACUGUCAGACUGUUUUCUGAAGUGGCGGCAGCAGCUUCCACCCCACCCGCAGUCUCAGGUUUCGUUUCUUCACAUCCUCACCCAGACUGGUUCUCACCUGUUUUUACUGAUACCAUCCCAGUGGGAGUGAAGUGGUGUCUUCUGGUUUGGAUUUGUGGCUCCCUCACGGCUGAUGGUGCUGAGCACUCUGUCGUGUGCCCGGUGCCCACUGACGCCUCCCCUGGAACAGUGCCCGUGCAGGUGUCUGCCCACUAUUCCGCUCACUUUCAGGGCCGGUAGCGGCAUGGUUGGGUGCAAGCCAACGGUUGUCCUUCUUCCCGUCAUCUGUUAUUUGUUCUGUUCUUCCUUUCUUGCCCUCUUUUGUAUUGAAUAUUUUUAUGUUCAAUUUAAUCUUCUUUACUGUUUUUAAGCAUUAUAUUUUUGUUUUAUUUUUCAGUGGUUGCUCUAAGAAUUGCAAUAUGCAACCUUAACCGAUCACCCUCCUCCUUAACUAACUAUGAUACUGCUGCAUGGAUAGGGUAAGAAGCUUACAACAGUAUCAAUUGUGGUAAUCCCAAUAAUAUAUUCUUUAAAAUUUUUGCUUAAGCAGUCAAUGAUCUUUCAAGAAAGUUAAGAAAAAUUAAGAAAUUGCCCAUAUAUUUACCUUUUCUGGUGAGCUUCAUUUCUUCUUAAAGACCCAGGUCUCUAUCUUGCAUUUUUUCCCAGUAGACCUCACCCGUGCACGCCUCAGGCGCCAUGUGGCACAUGGUGAUCCCCCCAUCACCACGCUGGAAAGAGUAGUGAGGCCGGCUCUGGUGCUGGCAUCUUACGUUGCCGAUGGCACUGCCUGGCCCCAUCCUAGCUCCUUCCUUCCGCAGGCACAGGUAACAGCAUCGUGGUCAUGACAACAAAUGGAUUCCUCCGUCAAGAACUGAAGAUUGAGGAGAACUUCAGAGACACCAGUACCUCCUUCCUGGCCUUCCAGCUCCUUCCUGAGGUAUCCCAGCAGGGGCUGUGGGCCCAGCACGCGCGUGGCCCGGGGCCCAUAGCCCACACCAUGCCCUGUGUUUCAGGAGGAGCAGCUGUGGGCGGCCUGUGCAGGACGCAGCGAGGUUUACAUCUGGAGCCUGAAGGACCUGGCCCAGCCCCCGCAGAGGGUGCCCCUCGAGGACUGCUCUGAGAUCCACUGCAUGAUCCGGGUGAAGAAGCAGGUCUGGGUGGGCAGCCAAGGGCUGUGGCAGGGAACACCCAAGGGGAAAAUCUACGUGAUUGAUGCCGAGAGGAAGACCGUGGAGAAGGAGCUGGUGGCGCACAUGGACACCGUGAGGACGCUGUGCUCGGCUGAGGACAGAUACGUGCUGAGUGGGUCGGGCAGGGAGGAGGGGAAGGUCGCCAUUUGGAAAGGGGAAUAAACGUGGCUGAGCCUGCCAAGUGGAACCGUGCCCUACGUGUGGGGACUGGCUGCCCCCUAGAGCCCGCCAGGAGCAGAACCUGGAGGGGUGGCGGGGCAGGGCAGCCCAGGCUCAGCGUGGAGCCCGCUUACCGUGUGGCCAGCCGCAGGACCCAUGGCCAUGCACCUUCUCUUAGGCCUUCGGGCCCCCUGGUUAAACUGCACCAAGGGUGUUUCCUGUUGGGGUAUGUCUCAGGCAGGCAGCUGCAUCAUCUUGUUGGUGAUAACCUCUGCUGGGAGGUUACUUUGUGUGUUGCCUAGAAAGUUCUGGAAUCCACAACCAGGGGCUGGCACUGGAGCCAGCAGCUUGGCCGAGUCACAGGUGACCCGUGGCCCUCACGUCUCUGGUUUUACCUUUCCUUACUUCAUUCAUUCACUCACCCAGUCCUACCGAGGAGCACUGGGCUGGGCACAUGACAGUGAGCCGGGAGCCCCGGGGCCUCCAGCGAGGCCUGUGAGAAGGGUGGUUCAGGUAACCACUGUGGUCUUUCUCCCAUCAGAGAAGGUGGACAGGGCCUACCCAGGUGGAGGGGACCACCCUGCGAUCAGGUGUUCGGGGCAGGGGUUGGGCCAGCUGAGGCAAGCUGUCUUUUUUCCUUUCCUUUAUAAUAGAUGCAAAAUUUUUAUAAUAAUCCUAGAGACCUUUUUUCUACCAAAGAUCACAGACCAGAAAAAGUUCCAUCUAAAAUAUCAUGCUCAGGAAACUACAUGGGACCAAAAGUAAAAUAGCAUCAUGUAUGAUCCUGUCUUCCAGUGUGCCGCUCAAUUUCCCUGAAUCCGUGUGCACACUGUGUAUGUGUAUGUGCAGGAUGCUUUACUGAACUCAACAAGAUCUUAGCUGUACAUAAAUAUUUGCAAAAGAGACCCUUUGCACCUUUUUACUGUAAUGUUGAGAUUUCAUUACUUAAAUGUUCUAUGGAAGGUUCUGGUGUGGUUGUUGGAGCUGGAGGGAACAUGUCAGCACGUGCUGAGGGCAUGGGGCCUGCCCCCUGGGCGCCCAUCCACAAGCUGGGCCAUGGAGCCCUAGCUUCUCAGGACACAGUCCCAGGGCUGGCGCAUCCUGAGGGUCUCUGGGGCGUGUUUGCCAGGCUCCUGGGAGCUGCUUUCAGAAGCUCUGCAGUGCCUCCAGAUGGAAAGGCGGGCCCGGCCUCCGGUUGGGUCUGCAUCUUGGAGAGUCCACACCACGGACCAGGUUUUCCCCCAAGGCUUGGCUUUGCGUAGCCACUAACUUCUUGGGGCGUUCUGAGAGUGUGGGCGGAGCGAACUAUGUGGCCUCAUCCUCCCGCAAGGCUGUGCUUGCAGCCUGGGCACCUUCCCACUUUCUAGCUGGGGAGAGCUUGGAUUUUGCUUUUGUAAACACAUGAAUCCUUAUGAUAAAAGUCUGUCAGAAAUACAUUUAUAAAUUAUUUAAUGCCAGUCCUCAUGUAACCUCAGGCAUCUUCAGCUUGUGGAGAAUAAAUUUGGUUUAAU